CAGUGGGAGCCUUUUAUGGCAACUUAGAAAAACUGCACUCCUGUACUCCUUCCACAUCAACAGAGAAUGGGCUUGAGAACAGGUUAAUAUCCUUCUCAAUGGCAGCGAAAUCUUGAAUAGUGUAGCCCCAAUGGGAGUGUUUCAGAAGCAGAGCGAUUUGCCUGUCUGAUUUUAUGGACUUGCUCAGACUGUGUUGAUUUGGUAUUUUUUCCUCGAUUUUUGUGCUUAUACCACGGGUAAGUCGGUUAAGUACGUAGUUAAAUUGUUUCUUUUUUGUCUGUUUUAAUUGUUUAUUGUUGAUAUACAGUGUGUUUUAUUUUGAAAAUUGACCGGAUUCUCUAUGCCGAUUCUGUGUCUGACUUCCUGCCCGGUUCGAUUUGCUCUGUGUAGCUUGACGCAGUUUCAGUCAAAAAUAGACUAGCAGCGUAUUCUCCGCUGAGCAGAGCGGAGAGCCGCUUCUGAAACGCGCUGCGGAGCAUCUAGUGGAAUCACAAGCAUUAUCUAGAAUGGCCGUGAUCAGCUUUGGCGGCCGCAUCGCAGCCGUGCCUGGUGGAAUCAAGUAGUUAUGUUGCCUUGGCAUACCCAGGUAGAGGGCUACGCACAUACUCAUAGAACUGGAGUUACAUCCAGUAACGCCGUCUCCGGUAACACAAAGAUGUAGAAGGUAACGUUCUGAGCAAAGCAUGCCAAUUUCUCUGUUGUUGGCUGCAAUAACCAACACAAAAGUCUUCAUCUACUCCCACCAUCCGAGGAAGUGAAGACCCAGUGGAUUAACUUCAUUUUUGAUGGAAAUGUCCCCACACCAACUAGAAAACUCUCCCAUGUGUGCGCUAAGUUAACCAUUUUACUUUGGACUGCUAUCUCAAUGAGGGCCUGUACAAAGCAGGAUUCACUUCAAAGUUGAAUCUCAAGGAUGGAUCGAUACCGACUUCAAACUUGGAAGCUCCUAUGAACAAUGCAGCAUGGAGGACGGGGUGGAAGAGGAAGUAGUGUGGAGCUUCGGGAACCACAGACUGGACAAGAGGAACAAGCAGCAUUAAGCCAGAGACCUACAGGCAGAGAUUCUGCUUCACAGAUGAAGAACUCCCAAAGACCUGUACGUAAGACGGAAGGAGCUGUAUGGGCAGUGGAUCCAACCAAAAGGUAAAACUGUUAAGGAUGUUGGUGAAAUUAUUAUCUUGAAGCAGUAUUUGUGAAUGCUAUCCCCUAAGCUCCAGGUAUGGAUCAGGAAACAUGAUACCUCAUCAGCUGCAGAGGCUGCUUUGCUUCGCUGGCUGAUGUGUUUGUGGCUGCCAGGAAAAAACAACAACCAUGGAGCAACACCACCUGGAAGGCUACAAAAGACACCUGCAGGUCCACAUCCUCUCAACACCAUCCCAUAAGGGAGAAUCAGCCAGCAAAUACACCAACACAGCAGUCUAGCAAAGUGCCAAUUUGUGGGUCACACAAAAUCAAUGUGCCCAAAGAACCCUCCUAAGCUCACUCAAAUGUGUGCUGUGCCUCGUCAAAAUUACCUUAAAUCAAAUAAUGAUCAAUCCAUAAAGAUGACAAUUGUCAAAUUCUUGAGACCAUCCCCAUCUGCUGUGUGCACAGGGAUAAGAAGCCUCACCCCACUGCUGACAUUUACACUGAAGUGCAAGGGCUACUCGUUGACAAUUUUCCUUUUUCAGUAGUGUUGGGUAGUGACCUGCCAGUCUUAUUUGAUUUGUUACAUCAACCUCAAAGUUUUAAUUUUGCAGUAACCAGAGACCAAGCCAAGCUGCUAGAUGAGCCUUCUGUAACCCUCAGUGCCCUGCCUUUUUAUGAUGCAGACCUAAGCUGCGUUUCAACCGCAGGAACUUUCCCCAGGGACUAGGAACCUUUGGAGGAACUCUGCGUUUCCACAGCAGGACCCAGGGUCUAACUUAAAUACCGGGAACAUUUUUUACCCCCCCAAAAGGUCCCAGUCUGUUUACUCCUGCGACCACCAGCAGCCCUCAUACCAUGUCUCAACACUGUAUUU